rnacentral:rRNA from 1 species
GAUGAACGCUGGCGGCGUGCCUAAUACAUGCAAGUCGAGCGAACAGACGAGGAGCUUGCUCCUCUGACGUUAGCGGCGGACGGGUGAGUAACACGUGGAUAACCUACCUAUAAGACUGGGAUAACUUCGGGAAACCGGAGCUAAUACCGGAUAAUAUAUUGAACCGCAUGGUUCAAAAGUGAAAGACGGUCUUGCUGUCACUUAUAGAUGGAUCCGCGCUGCAUUAGCUAGUUGGUAAGGUAACGGCUUACCAAGGCAACGAUGCGUAGCCGACCUGAGAGGGUGAUCGGCCACACUAGAACUGAGACACGGUCCAGACUCCUACGGGAGGCAGCAGUAGGGAAUCUUCCGCAAUGGGCGAAAGCCUAACGGAGCAACGCCGCGUGAGUGAUGAAGGUCUUCGGAUCGUAAAACUCUGUUAUUAGGGAAGAACAAAUGUGUAAGUAACUAUGCACGUCUUGACGGUACCUAAUCAGAAAGCCACGGCUAACUACGUG